GACGAACGCUGGCGGCGUGCCUAAUACAUGCAAGUUGAGCGCUGAAGGUUGGUACUUGUACCGACUGGAUGAGCAGCGAACGGGUGAGUAACGCGUGGGGAAUCUGCCUUUGAGCGGGGGACAACAUUUGGAAACGAAUGCUAAUACCGCAUAAAAACUUUAAACACAAGUUUUAAGUUUGAAAGAUGCAAUUGCAUCACUCAAAGAUGAUCCCGCGUUGUAUUAGCUAGUUGGUGAGGUAAAGGCUCACCAAGGCGAUGAUACAUAGCCGACCUGAGAGGGUGAUCGGCCAAAUUGGGACUGAGACACGGCCCAAACUCCUACGGGAGGCAGCAGUAGGGAAUCUUCGGCAAUGGACGAAAGUCUGACCGAGCAACGCCGCGUGAGUGAAGAAGGUUUUCGGAUCGUAAAACUCUGUUGGUAGAGAAGAACGUUGGUGAGAGUGGAAAGCUCAUCAAGUGACGGUAACUACACAGAAAGGGACGGCUAACUACGUG
rnacentral:rRNA from 1 species